AGCGAACGCUGGCGGCAGGCCUAACACAUGCAAGUCGAACGGAUCCUUCGGGAUUAGUGGCGGACGGGUGAGUAACACGUGGGAACGUGCCCUUUGGUUCGGAACAACUCAGGGAAACUUGAGCUAAUACCGGAUGAGCCCUUCGGGGGAAAGAUUUAUCGCCAUUGGAGCGGCCCGCGUCUGAUUAGCUAGUUGGUGAGGUAAAGGCUCACCAAGGCGACGAUCAGUAGCUGGUCUGAGAGGAUGAUCAGCCACAUUGGGACUGAGACACGGCCCAAACUCCUACGGGAGGCAGCAGUGGGGAAUCUUGCGCAAUGGGCGAAAGCCUGACGCAGCCAUGCCGCGUGAAUGAUGAAGGUCUUAGGAUUGUAAAAUUCUUUCACCGGGGACGAUAAUGACGGUACCCGCAGAAUAAGCCCCGGCUAACUUCGUGCCAGCCGCCGCCGUAAAAC
rnacentral:rRNA from 1 species